rnacentral:snoRNA from 1 species
UUGCAAACUUGGUUGCUAGCUCAGUGUGGUGUUCCAGAAGCAAGGGGAACAGAUUUGCUAAAUUAAACAUAGUCAUCAAACUAUAUUAGCCUUAGAAAUCGAAUCAUAGAAUUUAAGGGUUGGA